rnacentral:pre_miRNA from 13 species
CUGUUCUAAAGAGCCCUGAGUGACAGGUACUGUAAACAUCCUACACUCUCAGCUGUAGAUGUGAGAAAGCUGGGAGAAGGCUGUUUACUCUCUCUGCCUUGGAAAUCAGCCAAAGAGAACA